UAAAUCGAGUAUUUGGUAGUUGACUACCAAAGUGGUAGUUGACUACCAAAGUGGUAGUUGACUACCAAAGUGGUAGUUGACUACCAAAGUGGUAGUUGACUACCAAAGUGGUAGUUGACUACCAAACUCAUACGGAGGUUGUAGAGAUGUUUAAUGUUUGAAAGCUGCACACCGACUGAUGAUAUUAAUCGGCUCGCUUGCUUAUUUAUAAAUCGAAAAUUUGCUAGUUGAAUACCGAAGUGGUACUUGAAUAAAUACCAAGCUGGCAAUAAACAGAAAU